rnacentral:rRNA from 1 species
AGCGAACGUUAGCGGCGGGCCUAACACAUGCAAGUCGAACGAGAAUGGGGGAGCAAUCCCUCUAGUAAAGUGGCGGACGGGUGCGUAACACGUGGGUGAUCUACCUUCCGGCGGGGGACGAACAGUCCGAAAGGAUUGCUAAUACCGCGUACGUCGGCGAGGUCUCCGGACUUCGUCGGAAAGACGGCCUCUCCUUGGAAGCUGUCACCGGAAGAUGAGCCCGCGGCCCAUCAGCUAGUUGGUGAGGUAACGGCUCACCAAGGCUAAGACGGGUAGCUGGUCUGAGAGGAUGAUCAGCCACACUGGGACUGCGACACGGCCCAGACUCCUACGGGAGGCAGCAGUGGGGAAUAUUGGGCAAUGGGCGAAAGCCUGACCCAGCCACGCCGCGUGAGUGAUGAA